rnacentral:rRNA from 1 species
UCACAUGCAAGUCGAGGGGUAACAGGAGUAGCUUGCUAUUUGCUGACGACCGGCGCACGGGUGCGUAACGCGUAUAGAAUCUACCUUAUACUGGGGGAUAGCCUUUGGAAACGAAGAUUAAUACCCCAUAGUAUUAUUUUUUGGCAUCAUUAGAUAAUUAAAGUUUCGGCGGUAUAAGAUGACUAUGCGUUCUAUUAGUUAGUUGGUAAGGUAACGGCUUACCAAGACUACGAUAGAUAGGGGUCCUGAGAGGGAGAUCCCCCACACUGGUACUGAGACACGGACCAGACUCCUACGGGAGGCAGCAGUGAGGAAUAUUGGACAAUGGAGGCAACUCUGAUCCAGCCAUGCCGCGUGUAGGAAGACUGCCCUAUGGGUUGUAAACUACUUUUAUAUGGGAAGAAUAAGGUCUACGUGUAGACUGAUGACGGUACCAUAAGAAAAUAAAG